AGGCAGUUCCCUACUUUGGUGCGGAAUGCAUUUGCUCCAGAGCCGAGUAACUCACCAAAAAGGCGAGCUCUGCAGCGGGAGAUAUUACACGAUACGACACAACGCCUUCUGCAGUCGCCGUUUAUCAUUCUACGUCCUCGGCACAACUCUGCUGUAUAAUUACAGCUGGGGCUAAUUUUACCUGUGUUAUUGUUUGCCCUGUAAUUUAGAGAGAAUGGGCCGUGUUGACGCUAACGUGAUGUAGUCUGGGGCGAUCAGCUGGCUCUCUGCCACAGGACUACCGCUCGCAUGCUCCUGUAAUGAAGCACGUACGUUGCGAAAUAAAAAGAACCUUUCA
rnacentral:lncRNA from 1 species